GACGAACGCUGGCGGCGUGCCUAAUACAUGCAAGUCGAACGAGAGCGACCGGUGCUUGCACUGGUCAAUCUAGUGGCGAACGGGUGAGUAACACGUGGGUAACCUGCCCAUCAGAGGGGGAUAACAUUCGGAAACGGAUGCUAAAACCGCAUAGGUCUUCGAACCGCAUGGUUUGAAGAGGAAAAGAGGCGCAAGCUUCUGCUGAUGGAUGGACCCGCGGUGCAUUAGCUAGUUGGUGAGGUAACGGCUCACCAAGGCCGUGAUGCAUAGCCGACCUGAGAGGGUGAUCGGCCACAUUGGGACUGAGACACGGCCCAAACUCCUACGGGAGGCAGCAGUAGGGAAUCUUCCGCAAUGGACGCAAGUCUGACGGAGCAACGCCGCGUGAGUGAAGAAGGUUUUCGGAUCGUAAAACUCUGUUGUUAGAGAAGAAUAAGUGCUAGAGUAACUGUUAGCGUCUUGACGGUACCUAACCAGAAAGCCACGGCUAACUACGUG
rnacentral:rRNA from 1 species